GCUAAAUGAUGAUGUCACUGAGACCUGCCAUGGCCUACCUGCUGAACAGCUUUCCUUACAUUGACCAGAUUUGAGGGUGCCCUUUCCUGACCUGUUGAUCGAACACAGGGCCAUUGCUUCCUAGGCAAGCGCUCUACCGCUGACCUAAAUCCCCAACCCCUAAACAACGAAUUUUUAACUGAGGAAUAUCAACAUCCUUAGCCAUGAGAAAAGUGGAAAUCAAAAACAAAAAAAACAAAAAAAACAAACCAAAAAAACAAACAAACAAGAUAAAAAAUCCUGGGAUUCCACAGUACACCAACCAGAAUGGUUAAGAUAAAAAUAAAUUCAGUUGAAAAUGAUU